CUUGCCAUCAGAUGUGCCCAGAUGGGAUUAGCUUGUUGGUGAGGUAACGGCUCACCAAGGCGACGAUCCCUAGCUGGUCUGAGAGGAUGACCAGCCACACUGGAACUGAGACACGGUCCAGACUCCUACGGGAGGCAGCAGUGGGGAAUAUUGCACAAUGGGCGCAAGCCUGAUGCAGCCAUGCCGCGUGUAUGAAGAAGGCCUUCGGGUUGUAAAGUACUUUCAGCGGGGAGGAAGGUGUUGUGGUUAAUAACCGCAGCAAUUGACGUUACCCGCAGAAGAAGCACCGGCUAACUCCGUGCCAGCAGCCGCGGUAAUACGGAGGGUGCAAGCGUUAAUCGGAAUUACUGGGCGUAAAGCGCACGCAGGCGGUCUGUCAAGUCGGAUGUGAAAUCCCCGGGCUCAACCUGGGAACUGCAUUCGAAACUGGCAGGCUUGAGUCUUGUAGAGGGGGGUAGAAUUCCAGGUGUAGCGGUGAAAUGCGUAGAGAUCUGGAGGAAUACCGGUGGCGAAGGCGGCCCCCUGGA
rnacentral:rRNA from 1 species